rnacentral:rRNA from 1 species
AUUGAACGCUGGCGGCAGGCCUAACACAUGCAAGUCGAGCGGAGCGGCGGACGGGUGAGUAAUGCCUAGGAAUCUGCCUGGUAGUGGGGGAUACCGUCCGGAAACGGGCGCUAAUACCGCAUACUAUCAGAUGAGCCUAGGUCGGCUUAGCUAGUUGGUGGGGUAAAGGCUUACCAAGGCGACGAUCCGUAACUGGUCCGAGAGGAUGAUCAGUCACACUGGAACUGAGACACGGUCCAGACUCCUACGGGAGGCAGCAGUGGGGAAUAUUGGGCAAUGGGCGAAAGCCUGAUCCAGCCAUGCCGCGUGAGUGAAGAAGGUCUUCGGAUUGUAAAGCACGUUAGGUAGAGAAGCGGUACCAAAAGAAUAAGCACCGGCUAACUUCGUGCCAGCAGCCGCGGUAAUAC